UACAGAGGGUGCGAGCGUUAAUCGGAAUUACUGGGCGUAAAGCGUGCGUAGACGGUUAUAUAAGUCGGGUGUGAAAGCCCCGGGCUCAACCUGGGAAUUGCAUUCGAGACUGCAUAGCUAGGGUGCGGAAGAGGGAAGCGGAAUUUCCGGUGUAGCGGUGAAAUGCGUAGAUAUCGGAAGGAACAUCGGUGGCGAAGGCGGCGUCCUGGACCAAUACUGACACUGAGGAGCGAAAGCCAGGGGAGCAAACGGG
rnacentral:rRNA from 1 species